rnacentral:other from 1 species
CGCUCUCUACCCUACAGGUGAGGUCGCAAACGCCCAGGCGGAAUAUUGCUGAAAACGGGAUGGUUUCGUUGAGUGCGGUGAGCCAGCCCAACUCCGAUUGGGACGCCUGAUGUACUCACAAGCCGUUCCCCCUGUUAGGACUCGCAUGAGGCCUAGGCGAUCCACGGUAGGAGUGGAGAGUGC